rnacentral:rRNA from 1 species
AGCGAACGCUGGCGGCAUGCCUAACACAUGCAAGUCGAACGAGACCUUCGGGUCUAGUGGCGCACGGGUGCGUAACGCGUGGGAACCUGCCCUUAGAUUCGGAAUAACUCCCCGAAAGGGGUGCUAAUACCGGAUAAUGUCUUCGGACCAAAGAUUUAUCGCCUUUGGAUGGGCCCGCGUUGGAUUAGCUAGUUGGUAGGGUAAAAGCCUACCAAGGCGACGAUCCAUAGCUGGUCUGAGAGGAUGAUCAGCCACACUGGGACUGAGACACGGCCCAGACUCCUACGGGAGGCAGCAGUGGGGAAUAUUGGACAAUGGGCGAAAGCCUGAUCCAGCAAUGCCGCGUGAGUGAUGAAGGCCUUAGGGUUGUAAAGCUCUUUUACCCGGGAUGAUAAUGACAGUACCGGGAGAAUAAGCUCCGGCUAACUCCGUG